rnacentral:lncRNA from 1 species
UUCAAUUGAUGACAUGAUGUAACCGAUAGAAAGUAACCAUUGGUUCUUCUUACUCACCUCAAAAUGCUCUUAUCUUGCAUUGUCCAACAUCCUAGGUGUUCAGUUCACUGUUUCAUUGUUGGGCUACUCAUUUAACGGGCUAACUGGAUGAACACCCUUUGCUUAGGUGAAAGGCGCAAGGUGAGGGUCAGGAACUGAGACGAUCCACCUGAGGCAGAGGUAAAGCGAGCAAUGCUUCUGGGUCAAUCCUCCUUGGCAGGUUACAUACCGAAGCCUGCUUGCAAUGAUAUGAUGCCCUGUUGCUGCCAAAGGAAGAAGCGUAGCAGUAGUGAGAAAUAUAGUAUCCUCAAGGAAAUGCCACUUUCCCUAAGAAUAGAGAAAAUGGCAUGGAUAUACAUAACAGUAUGUCCUUAUCUUGGUUAUUUGCAUGCUUCUGCUUUAAAAAUUGUCCACAUUUAAACGGAAUGAGCUGCCUGUCAUUCAGCACCAGGCCCUUGCUCCAAGUGCUAAAAUGGCGCCAAUUGUAAUGAGAUUGAUUUUUUUUAGAAGUAUACAUGAUUGAGUGAGAUUCUCGGCUGGCACAGCUAUAUGAAACUGCCAUGACUGAUCUCACAGAACUAGCUCAUUUGUGUCAUACAUUAUGUGCGGAUGUGCCUAGUGCAGUUGUGUAUCUUGAAGAACUAUU